rnacentral:rRNA from 1 species
ACGCUGGCGGCAGGCCUAACACAUGCAAGUCGAGCGGUAGAGAGAAGCUUGCUUCUCUUGAGAGCGGCGGACGGGUGAGUAAUGCCUAGGAAUCUGCCUGGUAGUGGGGGAUAACGUUCGGAAACGGACGCUAAUACCGCAUACGUCCUACGGGAGAAAGCAGGGGACCUUCGGGCCUUGCGCUAUCAGAUGAGCCUAGGUCGGAUUAGCUAGUUGGUGGGGUAAUGGCUCACCAAGGCGACGAUCCGUAACUGGUCUGAGAGGAUGAUCAGUCACACUGGAACUGAGACACGGUCCAGACUCCUACGGGAGGCAGCAGUGGGGAAUAUUGGACAAUGGGCGAAAGCCUGAUCCAGCCAUGCCGCGUGUGUGAAGAAGGUCUUCGGAUUGUAAAGCACUUUAAGUUGGGAGGAAGGGUUGUAGAUUAAUACUCUGCAAUUUUGACGUUACCGACAGAAUAAGCACCGGCUAACUCUGUGCCAGCAGCCGCGGUAAUACAGAGGGUGCAAGCGUUAAUCGGAAUUACUGGGCGUAAAGCGCGCGUAGGUGGUUAGUUAAGUUGGAUGUGAAAUCCCCGGGCUCAACCUGGGAACUGCAUUCAAAACUGACUGACUAGAGUAUGGUAGAGGGUGGUGGAAUUCCCUGUGUAGCGGUGAAAUGCGUAGAUAUAGGAAGGAACACCAGUGGCGAAGGCGACCACCUGGACUGAUACUGACACUGAGGUGCGAAAGCGUGGGGAGCAAAC